CCGAAAGGUCGUGGAACCGGUUUGAUCACGAUCGGAUUCUCUUUAUAAGCAUUGAAAAAACUCGCACAAUGUGAUGUAUUGUUACGGCAGAAUAACAAGCUUUAAAAAAUGGAAACGAAGAUUUUAAACGUUGUCAUCGUAACACUAAUUAUAGUUAUUGCGCCGUUAAUCACCCCAACAGUUCAAACGAGCAUAUACAUAAAUGAUAAGAUAGAACCGGCAACGACAGACGUGUACUCGUUUCGUUAUUUACUUAAAGUUCGACCAAAUUGUCCUGAGGGGAUGAAAAUUACUGGUAGAGGAAUUUGUAGGAGAGUUUUAAGAAGAAAUUAAGAAAACAUGUAUUCAAAAUUGUUGAUUUUUAUUUGUAUAUUAACGGCGUCGUUUUGUGACGACAGAAUAUACUUUAUAGAUAACGAUAAUAAUAUCAAAAUAGUUACUACUACAGCGGAAUCACCAAUCACUAUUGAAACUCGAUUUAUGGUAACCGCUCCAAAACUUCAAACCAGGAAAUGCACAUAUAGUAAUGAAAAAUUUAUUAUGGGAAGAUGUCGACCAGUAUUUGGAAAUUAAUUAGAAUAAUAAAAAUUUUAUUAAAAUUA